rnacentral:piRNA from 1 species
UUUAAUUCAAAGAGUGGACAGCGG